rnacentral:lncRNA from 1 species
CGGAAGUCAAAUUAUGCCCGAGUACGGACAAGAAUACAGCAUGGCCUGAAGAGGCUGGAAGCUAGAAGGAAACCCGCCACAAGUCUCAGAACCCUGAUCUAGAUCUCCUGGCUAAACAUCGAAUCCAACGUCGUGCUCCACGAAGAAGCUAGCGGCUCAUCUGCUCUGCUGGAACCUCUGAAGAAAACAACGUUGCAAAGCAACUGAGUACAAAGUACUCGCAAGACUUACGUGGAGAUCUAUGCUAGUAUGCAACAUGUCUCAAAGGAGGGUAAAGUGGGGUUAUGCAGCAGCAAUAUCUGGAGAGACACUCUAAUAACAACGUCUAAUGAGAGGAUGAGAAGCGGCUACCAGGUGUAAGGUGAUUACCUAUUUACUAAACACCAAACAACACAAUCCUCAUAUCACCCCCUCAACACCCUGUGAGGAAGCAAUCCAAAGGACACUCACACUUAAGCAGUUUUAAGCAUAUCCAUGAUUAAAGGCUAAUUACUACUCAAGUUUAAGAGAUUAAGGUGGUUAGUUCUCUAUGAUCAAGUAAUGACCAACCAAGUCGUCCAUAACCGCGGACACGGCUUUCCGAAAGAUUUAUCCCUACAGGGUGUGCCAAUUUACCCGUACACGUUCGUCCAACCCUUAUUGCCACUCGAGUAGGAACACACAAAAAGGUGUGUCGGCAGGAUUGGGCGACACGACGUUUCCAAGCCCCACAACUAAUCCAGGGAACCACCCAACUGAGUCUAAUCCGAAACGAGAGCCCGGCCGAAGCGUCAUACGGACUCAAGAGUUGCGGGAACAGCUGGUGGUGGUUCAGUGUCCGCAGAAUGACCACUCCAGACGUGUGCCGCAGUCUUAUAUGUAUGCAAAGUCACCAACAAGUCUCCAAACACAACACCAGUGUAUAUGCGAUAUGCCAAAUGGAACACCCGAACUAUGUGGCCCCUGGAAGAACUAUGAAACGAGUACUAAGCCGAGGGGGAACCCAUAUAUUCUCCCACGAGCGGUUAGCGCGAAGUUUCUUGGGUCAGCGAAAACGAGAACUCAGUCCUUAGGUCGGCGCCAAUGGAACAAAACACCAAUGCGUUAGAGCACGGCCUCCCAUCGUUGCCUUGUUACAGUUUAAUAUCAUAUCACAGUUUAAUAAUUGCAAUUUAAAAUACAGGAAGUAGCAUGUGGAUGUAGCAAUUGUAGAACCCAAGAUAAAAGGACACCAGACUCGCAACUAAGCAAG